UGCCAGCAGCCGCGGUAAUACGGAGGGUGCAAACGUUGCUCGGAAUCAUUGGGCGUAAAGCGCACGUAGGCGGUCUUUUAAGUCGGAUGUGAAAGCCCUAGGCUUAACCAAGGAAGUGCAUUCGAAACUGAGAGACUUGAGUACAGGAGAGGGUCGCGGAAUUCUCGGUGUAGAGGUGAAAUUCGUAGAUAUCGGGAGGAACACCAGUGGCGAAGGCGGCGACCUGGACUGAUACUGACGCUGAGGUGCGAAAGCGUGGGGAGCAAACAGGAUUAGAUA
rnacentral:rRNA from 1 species